ACGGGUGAGUAACGCGUGGGAAUCUACCCAUCCCUACGGAAUAACGCAUGGAAACGUGUGCUAAUACCGUAUACGCCCUACGGGGGAAAGAUUUAUCGGGGAUGGAUGAGCCCGCGUUGGAUUAGCUAGUUGGUGGGGUAAAGGCCUACCAAGGCGACGAUCCAUAGCUGGUCUGAGAGGAUGAUCAGCCACAUUGGGACUGAGACACGGCCCAAACUCCUACGGGAGGCAGCAGUGGGGAAUAUUGGACAAUGGGCGCAAGCCUGAUCCAGCCAUGCCGCGUGAGUGAUGAAGGCCUUAGGGUUGUAAAGCUCUUUCACCGGAGAAGAUAAUGACGGCAUCCGGAGAAGAAGCCCCGGCUAACUUCGUGCCAGCAGCCGCGGUAAUACGAAGGGGGCUAGCGUUGUUCGGGAUUACUGGGCGUAAAGCGCACGUAGGCGGACUUUUAAGUCAGGGGUGAAAUCCCGGGGCUCAACCUCGGAACUGCCUUUGAUACUGGAAGUCUGGAGUAUGGAAGAGGUGAGUGGAAUUCCGAGU
rnacentral:rRNA from 1 species